GCAUUACAAGUGACGUUGUGCCGAAAGAACUGGCGGUAGACCACAAGUGGGAAGCUGCUGUAGUGAUGUGUAAAGUGACUGUUUUGUCGCAACGUGGAGGCUGCAGGCUGGCUG
rnacentral:sRNA from 1 species